rnacentral:piRNA from 1 species
GCCUGUGCUGACAUUUGAAAUACUGAGA